UACAGAGGUCCCAAGCGGUGUUCGGAUUCACUGGGCGUAAAGGGUGCGUAGGUGGUCGGGUAAGUCUGAUGUGAAAUCUUCGAGCUCAACUCGAAAAUGGCAUUGGAUACUAUUCGGCUGGAGGGUUGGAAGGGGGACUGGAAUUCUCGGUGUAGCAGUGAAAUGCGUAGAUAUCGAGAGGAACACCGGUGGCGAAGGCGAGUCCCUGGACAAUUCCUGACACUGAGGCACGAAAGCUAGGGGAGCAAACAGG
rnacentral:rRNA from 1 species